UACACUCCUACGGGAGGCAGCAGUGGGGAAUAUUGCCCAAUGGGCGCAAGCCUGAUGCAGCCAUGCCGCGUGUGUGAAGAAGGCCUUCGGGUUGUAAAGCACUUUCAGCGGGGAGGAAGGCGAUACGGUUAAUAACCGUGUUGAUUGACGUUACCCGCAGAAGAAGCACCGGCUAACUCCGUGCCAGCAGCCGCGGUAAUACGGAGGGUGCAAGCGUUAAUCGGAAUUACUGGGCGUAAAGCGCACGCAGGCGGUCUGUCAAGUCGGAUGUGAAAUCCCCGGGCUCAACCUGGGAACUGCAUUCGAAACUGGCAGGCUUGAGUCUUGUAGAGGGGGGUAGAAUUCCAGGUGUAGCGGUGAAAUGCGUAGAGAUCUGGAGGAAUACCGGUGGCGAAGGCGGCCCCCUGGACAAAGACUGACGCUCAGGUGCGAAAGCGUGGGGAGCAAACAGGAUUAGAUACCCCGGUAGUCCCA
rnacentral:rRNA from 1 species